GAUGAACGCUAGCGGCAGGCCUAAUACAUGCAAGUCGAGGGAGAAUGUUGGAUUCGUCUGACAUGAAACCGUCGCACGGGGGCGUAACACGUAUGCAACCUACCUUUAACUGGGGUAUAGCUCAGAGAAAUCUGAAUUAAUCCCCCAUAAGACUACGACAUGGCAUCAUGAUGUAGUUAAAGCUCCAGCCGCUACGGAUGGGCAUGCGGUACAUUAGCUAGUUGGUGAGGUAAUGGCUCACCAAGGUCACGAUGUAUAGGGGGUCUGAGAGGAUGAUCCCCCACACUGGUACUGAGACACAGACCAGACUCCUACGGGAGGCAGCAGUAGGGAAUAUUGGUCAAUGGACGCAAGUCUGAACCAGCCAUGCCGCGUGAAGGAUGAAGGCCCUAUGGGUCGUAAACUUCUUUUAUUAGGGAAGAAAAAACGGGAUGCGUCCUGUACUGACGGUACUUAAUGAAUAAGGAUCGGCUAACUUCGUGCCAGCCGCCGCAGUAA
rnacentral:rRNA from 1 species